rnacentral:rRNA from 1 species
UACGUAGGGUGCAAGCGUUGUUCGGAAUCACUGGGCGUAAAGGGCGCGUAGGCGGGCUGACAAGUCGUUUGUGAAAUCCCCGGGCUAACCUGGGACGUGCAAGCGAAACUGUCAGUCUUGAGUGCUUGAGAGGAUGGCGGAAUUGCAGGUGUAGAAGUGAAAUUCGUAGAUAUCUGCAAGAACACCGGAGGCGAAGGCGGCUGUCUGGCAAGACACUGAGCUGAGGCGCGAAGCGUGGGGAUCAAACAGG